AUGGCUGGGCAGAGAGGAGGGCUGCCCCUGCUGCUGUUGAGCAUUGCCGUGCUGGACCUCACGCUGGCGACUGCCAUCACAGAUGUGACAGCAACCAUGUCUACGAGUGUCCCUACCUCCCCAACACCUACGGAGACCUCGGCACUGCUGCCCACCACUGACCCCACCACUGCAGCCACUCUCCCUCCCUCCAGCCCUGAAUCCUCUACCCUGGAGAGGUCCAGUACAUUGCUGGGGACCAGCAGUUUCUCAUCAUCCACUAUGCCUCCUGUCACUGCAGCCUCUUCUCCCUCCAGCCCCGAAAUCUCUACCCUGGAGAGGUCCAGCACAUUGCUGGGGACCAGCAGUUUCUCACCAUCCACCAUGCCUACUGUCACUGCAGCCACCCUCCCUCCCUCCAGCCCUGACACCUCCACCACGGGUGCUUUCACAGCAAGCACUGUGCCUCUGAGGAGCAGCAUGGCAGCCUCCAGCAUCACCACACCACAGGUGACUGGUAGCACAUCCCACAGCACCCCUGAUGGCACCUCGGUACUGCCUGAGCCCACCGAAACAGAGCUGGGGCUCACCACCAGCACCCUGACACCAGCUCCCGCGGCUACGACAUCCAGUGGUACUGAUCCGACCAUUGUCACGUCUGUGGGGACCGGUACGACAUCGGCUGUCAUAUCGUUUGGAGUCGAAAAGAGCACACUGUCUCUCUCCACUUCUGAUCCCCUCUCCUCCACCGGAGCGGGCACCACGUUUGGUAUCACCACCCGCCAAGAGCCAGCCGUGGCCACACUGCUUGGCAGCACAUCGCUAGGGACAGGCAGCGCCUCUUUCCCCACCGCAGCAGCAGCACCGACAGUCACUUCAGAUGAGCCCCACUGGACCACGUCGGACACCACGGCCACUGCCGUUACCAGCACGGGGGGCCCCGGGAACACCCCCACCCAACCGGUCGAGCCCACGGCCGGGAUCACUGCUGGCAGCUCCGCCGCGGCGACUGCCAUCACAGAUGUGACAGCAACCAUGUCUACGAGUGUCCCCUACCUCCCCAACACCUACGGAGACCUCGGCACUGCUGCCCACCACUGA
rnacentral:lncRNA from 14 species